UAAUACUCGAGUACUCCGUGGCCGUCCCUCCUGUAUUCCUCCCUCCCCGUGACUGGGCAGGGACUAUCCGAACCCCGGCGUGAGUGACAUUCAUUCUCUCAGUGCAUGCAAGUCAUAGAUAGGGACUGAGAGGGGACUAAAGGCUGGCCAUACCGAGAACCGGGCUUCAUUUGGAAAAAAAAAACGUGUCCUAAAAUUUCUUGUAAUUAAUAUUUUUUGGGAAAAAAAUAUCCAUUAUGUCCGACAGUCCAAAAGAAGGGUCGGCACAGACCGUCGAAGAGGUGAAUGCAACACCUACAGAAAAUCCAUGCGCCGAACUUAAAAUUGCCAUGGAAAAAUGUGCGGCGGAGAAAGGGGAAGACAACUGCCAGGAACUCAUUCAAGCCUACAAAGAAUGUAUGAAAUCCCUCGGACUGCACAUCUAACACGUACCCAGGUACCGCGAGCGCAGAAAGGGUGGUCCUCUUCCCCAUUAUUCUCUCUCUCCGAAUCCGACCAUUCCGCCGGGAUGAACAGAUGGGGAGUCCUACUGUCCGUGAUAAGCCGUUAAACGUUUGAGCUGCAGUUCUCCUGCAGGAUCCUACCUUGUACAAUCUCAAUGCCCUCCUGCCAGGGGAAGGGGCAAACUCUGCGGAGGAUGCCAAAAAGUUUAGAAUAAAACUUUAUAUUUUACAAA